CCUACGGGAGGCAGCAGUGAGGAAUAUUGGUCAAUGGACGAGAGUCUGAACCAGCCAAGUAGCGUGAAGGAUGACUGCCCUAUGGGUUGUAAACUUCUUUUAUAUGGGAAUAAAAUGUUCCACGUGUGGGAUUUUGUAUGUACCAUAUGAAUAAGGAUCGGCUAACUCAGUGCCAGCAGCCGCGGUAAUACGGAGGAUCCGAGCGUUAUCCGGAUUUAGUGGGUUUAAAGGGAGCGUAGGUGGAUUGUUAAGUCAGUUGUGAAAGUUUGCGGCUCAACCGUAAAAUUGCAGUUGAAACUGGCAGUCUUGAGUACAGUAGAGGUGGACGGAAUUCGUGGUGUAGCGGUGAAAUGCUUAGAUAUCACGAAGAACUCCGAUUGCGAAGGCAGCUCACUGGACUGCAACUGACACUGAGGCUCGAAAGUGUGGGUAUCAAACAGGAUUAGAUACCCCAGUAGUC
rnacentral:rRNA from 1 species